rnacentral:rRNA from 1 species
AGCGAACGCUGGCGGCAGGCCUAACACAUGCAAGUCGAACGAAGUCUUCGGACUUAGUGGCGGACGGGUGAGUAACACGUGGGAACGUGCCUUUAGGUUCGGAAUAACUCAGGGAAACUUGUGCUAAUACCGAAUGUGCCCUUCGGGGGAACGAUUUAUCGCCUUUAGAGCGGCCCGCGUCUGAUUAGCUAGUUGGUGAGGUAAAGGCUCACCAAGGCGACGAUCAGUAGCUGGUCUGAGAGGAUAAUCAGCAACAUUGGGACUGAGACACGGCCCAAACUCCUACGGGAGGCAGCAGUGGGGAAUCUUGCGCAAUGUGCGAAAGCUUGACGCAGCCAUGCCGCGUGAAUGAUGAAGGUCUUAGGAUUGUAAAAUUCUUUCACCGGGGACGAUAAUGACGGUACCCGGAGAAGAAGCCCCGGCUAACUUCGUGCCAGCCGCCGCCGUAA